rfam:Felis catus isolate Cinnamon breed Abyssinian chromosome C2, whole genome shotgun sequence.
GCCUGGGUGGCUCAGUCGGUUAAGCAUCUGACUUCAGCUCAGGUCAUGAUCUUGCAGUUUGUGGGUUCGAGCCCCCCAUAGGGCU